rnacentral:rRNA from 1 species
UACGAAGGGGACUAGCGUUGUUCGGAUUUACUGGGCGUAAAGCGCGCGUAGGCGGAUCGCUAAGUCGGGGGUGAAAUCCCAGGGCUCAACCCUGGAACUGCCUUUGAUACUGACGAUCUGGAGAUCGGGAGAGGUUGGUGGAAUUCCGAGUGUAGAGGUGAAAUUCGUAGAUAUUCGGAGGAACACCAGAAGCGAAGGCGGCCAACUGGCCCGAUACUGACGCUGAGGCGCGAAAGCGUGGGGAGCAAACAGG